rnacentral:sRNA from 1 species
CUCAAUCUUUAAUGGAGAAGUCGUCGGGGCAUAUCGCUCAACAACCUUGCCAUCUUUACCAACGAGAAACUUCGUGAAGUUCCAUUUGAUGCCAUCACCAAGGAAUCCACCUUUCUGUGAUUUCAAGAACUUGUAUAGCGGUGCGGCCUCCUUCCCGUGAAGCCCACCAACCUUGUCAAAAAUAGGAAAUUCUGCUUUGAAUCUGGUACAAACUGUUUGCUCAAUCUCUUCAUUGCUGCCAGGCUCUUGACCAGCAAAUUGGUUGCACGGAAAUGCGAGUAUCUCAAGGCCUGAAUGCCAUUUAUAAACAACAGAGUGAUAAUGAAUGUACAAAAGCUACUUUUGAGAUAAACUGAAUCAGGAUUAAACUUCAAAACAGUGGCAAUGAGCAUACCUUUUUCUUUGUA